rnacentral:rRNA from 1 species
AACGACGCUGGCGGCAUGGAUUAGGCAUGCAAGUCGAACGGUUUGGCAGGGGCAACUCUGCCAGACAGUGGCGAAAGGGUGAGGAACACGUGAGUAACCUGCCCCUAAGUUGGGAAUAGCUCCGGGAAACUGGGAUUAAUACCGAAUGUGGAUACAACUUCGCAUGUUGUUGUAUCUAAAGAUUUAUCGCUUAGGGAUGGGCUCGCGUCCCAUUAGCUAGUUGGUAGGGUAACGGCCUACCAAGGCAUUGAUGGGUAGCUGGUCUGAGAGGAUGGUCAGCCACACUGGGACUGAGACACUGCCCAGACUCCUACGGGAGGCUGCAGUCGAGAAUCUUCCGCAAUGCGCGAAAGCGUGACGGAGCGAUGCCGCGUGCAGGAUGAAGGCCUUCGGGUCGUAAACUGCUGUCACCAGGGACGAAUCAAUGACGGUACCUGGAGAGGAAGCCACGGCUAACUACGUG